UACGUAGGGUGCAAGCGUUAAUCGGAAUUACUGGGCGUAAAGCGUGCGCAGGCGGUUUUGUAAGUCUGUCGUGAAAUCCCCGGGCUCAACCUGGGAAUUGCGAUGGAGACUGCAAGGCUAGAAUCUGGCAGAGGGGGGUAGAAUUCCACGUGUAGCAGUGAAAUGCGUAGAGAUGUGGAGGAACACCGAUGACGAAGGCAGCCCCCUGGGUCAAGAUUGACGCUCAUGCACGAAAGCGUGGGGAGCAAACAGG
rnacentral:rRNA from 1 species